rnacentral:hammerhead_ribozyme from 1 species
AUUCAGCUGACCACGAGUCCCAAAUAGGACGAAAUGAGCAUCCUUGAU